CAAGAAUUGCAUCCCAGCAGCACAGGUAAAGACAUGACUAAUGGGGGAGCCAACAUGAAGAGGUGUCCAGAGAGGCUUCUUUCGCUUGGGCUUUGCAACAGCACCAGGACCUCACCAUCAGUGAUGCUGGUUUCCUCAUCCAUCGGGCCUACCCUUACAUUCCUCACCUGAUGCACUGAUCACCUGUACCAGUUGUUGGAGUUUUCAGCAGGGCUCUAAAUUAACUUUUUUCAUCACUAGCCAAAAUGGCUAGUAUGUUAAUCUCCAAACAUACCGGUACAUUACAUAAUGGGUCAAAGUGCCAAGUAUGUUUUCUUUUCUACCGGCCAAACUUAAUUUUCCCCAGCAUUUGGCUGGUUUGCGCCUGGUUGUCAUUGAUAGUGAGUAGUUGUGAUAAUAAAUAACUGAAAUGAUGAA